CCUACGGGAGGCAGCAGUGGGGAAUUGUUCGCAAUGGGCGCAAGCCUGACGACGCAACGCCGCGUGGAGGAUGAAGACCUUCGGGUCGUAAACUCCUUUCGAUCGAGACGAAUGUUUUCCGGGUGAACAAUCCGGAAAAGUGACGGUACCGAGAGAAGAAGCCCCGGCUAACUCUGUGCCAGCAGCCGCGGUAAUACAGGGGGGGCAAGCGUUGUUCGGAAUUACUGGGCGUAAAGGGCUUGUAGGUGGCCAACUAAGUCAGACGUGAAAUCCCUCAGCUUAACUGGGGAACUGCGUCUGAUACUGGAUGGCUUGAGUUUGGGAGAGGGAUGCGGAAUUCCAGGUGUAGCGGUGAAAUGCGUAGAUAUCUGGAGGAACACCGGUGGCGAAGGCGGCAUCCUGGACCAACACUGACACUGAGGAGCGAAAGCCAGGGGAGCAAACGGGAUUAGAUACCCCGGUAGUCCUGGCCCUAAACGAUAGAAUGCUUGGUGUGGCGGUAUCGAUCCUGCCGUGCCGAAGCUAACGCAUUAAGCAUUCCGCCGUGGGGAGGUACGGUCGCGAGGAACGUGUAAACGUUAAAGGUUAAAGUUAGUUACGGACGUGAGACGNGCGACGGACGACGACGAGGGAGGAGG
rnacentral:rRNA from 1 species